GACGAACGCUGGCGGCGUGCUUAACACAUGCAAGUCGAACGGAAACGCCCUGCUUGUUUGGGGUGCUCGAGUGGCGAACGGGUGAGUAACACGUGAGUAGCCUGCCCUAUUCUUUGGGAUAACUUCAGGAAACUAGGGCUAAUCCCGUAUCGGAGCCCCUCCUCCAUGGUGGGGGGUGGAAAUUUUCGGCUGUUGUGGUUGGAUGCGCGGCUUAUCAUCUUGUUGGUGGGGGAGUGGCUUACCAACGGAUUGACGGAUAGGUAGCCUGUGAGGGGGGACGGCGACAUUGGGACUAAGGUACGACCCAGUGUCGUACGGGGGGCAGCAGGGGGGAAUAUGGCACAAUGAGACGGAGCCGGAGGAGGAGGCGUCGCGUGUGUGAUGACGGUCUUCGGGUUGUAAAACGCAUUCGCCUAAGACGAAGCGGUAGUGACGGUAAUGGGUAAAGAAGCACCGGCUAACUACGUG
rnacentral:rRNA from 1 species